rnacentral:rRNA from 1 species
AACGAACGCUGGCGGCAUGCCUAACACAUGCAAGUCGAACGAGACCUUCGGGUCUAGUGGCGCACGGGUGCGUAACGCGUGGGAACCUGCCCUUAGGUUCGGAAUAACUCCCCGAAAGGGGUGCUAAUACCGGAUAAUGUCUUCGGACCAAAGAUUUAUCGCCUUUGGAUGGGCCCGCGUUGGAUUAGCUAGUUGGUAGGGUAAUAGCCUACCACGGCGACGAUCCAUAGCUGGUCUGAGAGGAUGAUCAGCCACACUGGGACUGAGACACGGCCCAGACUCCUACGGGAGGCAGCAGAGGGGAAUAGUGGAAAAUGGGCGAAAGGCUGAUCCAGCAAUGACGCGUGAGUGAUGAAGGCCUUAGGGUUGUAAAGCGCUUGUAACCGGGAUGAUAAUGACAGUACCGGGAGAAUAAGCUCCGGCUAACUCCGUG